rnacentral:rRNA from 1 species
AUUGAACGCUGGCGGCAUGCUUUACACAUGCAAGUCGAACGGUAACAGGCCGCAAGGUGCUGACGAGUGGCGAACGGGUGAGUAAUGCAUCGGAACGUGCCCAGUCGUGGGGGAUAACGCAGCGAAAGCUGCGCUAAUACCGCAUACGAUCUCUGGAUGAAAGCGGGGGACCGAAAGGCCUCGCGCGAUUGGAGCGGCCGAUGUCAGAUUAGGUCGUUGGUGGGGCAAAGGCCCACCAAGCCAACGAUCUGUAGCUGGUCUGAGAGGACGACCAGCCACACUGGGACUGAGACACGGCCCAGACUCCUACGGGAGGCAGCAGUGGGGAAUUUUGGACAAUGGGCGCAAGCCUGAUCCAGCAAUGCCGCGUGCAGGAAGAAGGCCUUCGGGUUGUAAACUGCUUUUGUACGGAACGAAACGGUCCGGGCUAAUACCCUGGGCUAAUGACGGUACCGUAAGAAUAAGCACCGGCUAACUACGUGCCAGCAGCCGCCGUAACAC